UAUCUCUCCGUACGGGGAAGGAUGAGAAGCUUCGACUAAGGUUCGAUUCGAGCGCAGCGAGAAAGCGUUGCCGCAGGCAACGACCCGAAGGGCGAAGCGCGCAGCGCUGAGUCAUCCUUCCCCCACCAC
rnacentral:sRNA from 1 species